rnacentral:rRNA from 1 species
GAUGAACGCUGGCGGCGUGCCUAAUACAUGCAAGUCGAGCGAACAGAUGAGGAGCUUGCUCCUCUGACGUUAGCGGCGGACGGGUGAGUAACACGUGGAUAACCUACCUAUAAGACUGGGAUAACUUCGGGAAACCGGAGCUAAUACCGGAUAAUAUAUUGAACCGCAUGGUUCAAUAGUGAAAGACGGUUUUGCUGUCACUUAUAGAUGGAACCGCGCCGCAUUAGCUAGUUGGUAAGGUAACGGCUUACCAAGGCAACGAUGCGUAGCCGACCUGAGAGGGUGAUCGGCCACACUGGAACUGAGACACGGUCCAGACUCCUACGGGAGGCAGCAGUAGGGAAUCUUCCGCAAUGGGCGAAAGCCUGACGGAGCAACGCCGCGUAAGUGAUGAAGGUCUUCGGAUCGUAAAACUCUGUUAUUAGGGAAGAACAAAUGUGUAAGUAACUAUGCACGUCUUGACGGUACCUAAUCAGAAAGCCACGGCUAACUACGUG